rnacentral:rRNA from 1 species
UACGUAGGGGGCUAGCGUUGUCCGGAUUUAUUGGGCGUAAAGAGCGUGUAGGCGACCAGGUAGGUCUGCUGUGAAAACUCGAGGCUCAACCUCGAGACGUCGGCGGAAACCAUCUGGCUAGAGUCCGGAAGAGGAGAGUGGAAUUCCUGGUGUAGCGGUGAAAUGCGUAGAUAUCGUGAGGAACACCAGAGGCGAAGGCGGCUUCCUGGACAAUUGCUGACGCUCAGGCACGAAAGCGUGGGGAGCAAACGGG